AGUCCCCAGCGUGCCACGCUCCAAGCCCGUGUCUCCAAUAACGACCGUGAGCUCACUGAAAACACCCUCCAGCACAGCGAAGGACUCCAAGAUACCCAUCAGCAUUAAACACCUUUCCUCGCAUUCCGCCAGCCAUGGAGCAGAUGCCAGUAACAGCCAUCACGUCGCACACCAUCACCUGGCCAAAAGUGAGAUGCACAGAACAAAAAUCCCUGUCUCCAAAGUCCUGGUACGCCGGGUCAGUAACAGGGGCGUAGCAGGGACAACGGUGAAAACUGCCACGUACCAGGACAGUGCCAAAAAGUAGUUGGGUAAGAAGUGAGGCAAAGGCAGAGAGCAAUGUCCAUGUGGGAAAGUCUGCAUAGGAAACCACAGAUAAUAUGUUAGUUUUGCAUCACCUAAGAAAGUCACCUAAAAGGUUUCCUUCACUGUACUCUGUGGGCCUGCACUUCUGAGUCUCUCCUUACUAGACUGUAUGGCUAAAUACAAGAAGUCAACUUCUUUUUGAGCACCUUUUUUUUACAUUUGUAUCUUUUUUCUGCAACACUAAACACUGGGGAGGUUCAUUUUUACAUGCCUUUCUGGAAGCAGGACUUGGAUUAUGACCAUCCUUCCUCGUGCAAAGCAGUGUCAUGAGUUCUUCAAGGGAACAGUGCUACAAAAGGAGCAACAUGAGAGGUUCUCCUAUACACUUAUCUUUUAAUCAUUUCUAGGGGAGGAGUGGAGGCUGGGUGCCUGGCUGGCUCUGGAAAUGAUGUUUGCUCCACGAGAUGUUGGAAAAAAUGCCAAGCAGAAAACAACCCACCUAACAGAUGGAUGAUGUGCAGGAGCUUCCUCCAGAGGUUACCAACCUGCAGCUCCUGUGGCCUGUCAGACCUCCUUGCUGCAGAAACGCUCCAUGCAGCAAGGAUCACUAAUGCUCUGCUGUUCCCCAGCUGCCCAUCAGAGGGCUUUUCUGCAGGGCUUCUCCAGGCUCCUGGCACUGCUGUGGGGCUGUUUAACAUGGCUCAGGAAGGAGAAUGGCUGCAGAACAGGGCAGAGAAUUGGAGUCAGGCUGUGAUAUCCUUUCACAGAUGUCCUCCUGUGACCUUCAGUGCAGAACCACAUCCCUUUGCUUUUUCCACCUCUAAAUGGGGAUUGCCAGCCUUCUUCAAAUUUUGCACCAAUGCAAGUGUUUUACUUAGGAUGCCUUCAUACUCUGUUGUGGACUGCGAGUGGUAUGAGAGCCCCUCCAGGUUGUGUGUGCUUGAGCCACAGCCCCAGAGUGCCAACAGACCAGACAGAAGGAAGGCAUGGGCAUUUGGAGAAACCAAGCCCCCUCUGGGGAAAUGUGUCCAGGUGGAAAAGGCACUUGCAGGACCAAAGAACACCUGAGCUUUAGUUCUGCUUCUCCCACUCCCCUGCUGCCUGCCUGUGUGUGAACCAGUGCACUUCCAUUCUGGGCAUUUGCAAAGUGCAAGUGUCAUUUGCUGGAACAUCUUCUGCUCCAACUAUUCAAGUGUGGUGAAGCAGAUUAGCCCAGUUUGUGGCUGCUGUUUCUGUCCAAGCUUGUGCCAGUUCCAGGGAUUGCUCUCCUCCAUGACUCGAAGGUUUGACACAAGUUGGCUCCAUGAUACCCUUCAUCUGGAGAGCUCAGUGAGUGACAUGUGUGGUAAGUUCACUCCUGUUGCCUUCCCCUGACCAUCCCCUUUUGAUGGCUUUUACAGCACACUCCAGUGAGGAGCUGGGACAUGCAGAAGGGCUUGUGUGCUACACAGGCACUCUGGCUCUCAGGCUCUGACCCUGCUCUCAGAGGUGAUGGCUGAGAUCUUCACAUGUUGCUCAGGCUGGGAGAGGACCAGAUCUCUGCAGAGGGCUUUUGAACCUCUCAUGUGUUGGAAAAGCUACAGUGCUUACAAGGCGUAACUUCAGCUGCUGUACAAUUUAUAAUUUCCUUUAAUUUCUUGAAGCGCUGUAAUUUUUACACUGUUGUGAAAGGAUCUUUGUUUACAAUGAUUGCAAAGGGUAAUAUUUCCAGCAUGGGUAACCAUGGCAAUGAGUAAUUCUAUUCUUAGGAACUGUGCCAGCUGCACUAAGGCCUUAUAGUAGCACUCAAGCAGUUUGCUAAUGAGAGAGUUCUCGUUUAUUGUAGGAGAACAUUUUCCCGUGUCCACACGUUAGCCCAGUAGUUUCUUAAAAGCACAUUCUUUAUCAGUAAUACAUGGGGAAAAAAAAAAAAAAAAAAGCAUCAAACCAAAAUAAGCUCAGUCACACAGCUCCUCUCACAAGUAACAUUCUCAUGUGUUUUUUUUUUUCAUUGCAAACUGUAUGAUAAAACACAUUUUAAAAUGAAAUCUAUGGUAUGCAAUAGUGAGCUUACAAUGCUCUAGAGCAGCAGUUUCUUGCAAAAAAAGACAACACCCUGUAAACUGACACAAAAUUAUGCAGGUUUUAUCACUAGAGGAAAGACUUCAACUGUUUUAAAAUACUAGUUUUAUAUGUAAUUUUGAGUAAAAAAAAAUUGUAUAUUGUAUUACUUGUUAAAACAUAUGUUACAGCUGGAGUUGAAUUACUUCAACACUAAAGAACUGAAAUUGAUUAAAGUAUUGUUCUUAUACAUGUGUGAACAUGAUUCCUAUAUUUGUAAAGAUGUAUGUAAAAUAAGUAAAAUAUUUAUUUUGCUUGUUUCAUUAUAUAAAUGCAAUUUAAAUGAUUCUAAAAAUAA
ensembl:lncRNA